GAUGGUACCAACGAGUUUGAAAUUCUGGCCCGAGAGGGUUGGGUAAACUGUUUAAUUACCGUCGUGACAGGAAUCGGGGCUUGGAAUUGUUCCCCGUAAACGAGGAAUUCCUAGUAAGUGCAAGUCAUUAGCUUGCACUGAUUACGUCCCUGCCCUUUGUACACACCGCCCGUCGCUACUACCGAUUGAAUGGUUUAGCAAGGUGAUUGGAUUGACGACAUUGUUGCACUGCUGCUGCUUGCUGCUGCUGCUGCUGCUGCUGCAAUAUGUGCACAAAAUUUGUUGAAAAGAUCACCAAAC
rnacentral:rRNA from 1 species